rnacentral:rRNA from 1 species
CAGUCGCCGCGGUAAUACGAAGGGGGCUAGCGUUGUUCGGAAUUACUGGGCGUAAAGCGCACGUAGGCGGACAUUUAAGUCAGGGGUGAAAUCCCGGGGCUCAACCCCGGAACUGCCUUUGAUACUGGGUGUCUAGAGUAUGGAAGAGGUGAGUGGAAUUCCGAGUGUAGAGGUGUAAUUCGUAGAUAUUCGGAGGAACACCAGUGGCGAAGGCGGCUCACUGGUCCAUUACUGACGCUGAGGUGCGAAAGCGUGGGGAGCAAACAGGAUUAGAUACCCCUGUAGUCCCUGUCUCUUAUAC